GACAAAUAUUCAACUGUCCAAAUAAAUUCAUUAUCUAUAUUGAGCUGCUGUUCCAGACAGAAGGUACUAUUUCAAAACAUCGCGCUGAGAACGUGACGAAUUUAGUUUCCAGAUCUUUUGGUCAAAUCGAAAGCCUCUGAAGAGAGAAGAUAAGCAGAUGCUCUGCUGGGAGAUCUCUGCGCGAGUUAAAUAAAAAGCAGUUGAUCUGAGACAGUUGCCGCAUGGAGAGCAAUUAUGCUGUUAGUGCGGCAGCUGCUUUUCAUUCUGUUCUGCCUUGGGUGCCCCUCGUCGAAUGCGUUGGUGUCUCUGCCCGCCUUCAGAAGAACAAAGGAAGCAAAGAAGGACAUAGUACUGUUUUUACCUCAGCGUCUGACAGAUUUACCAGGCGAAGAUGCAAAUGGAAAGCUGGUCAAAAUGGGAUCCAUAACAUACAGCGCGUCUUCAAUGAGGUAUUCGGCGAAUGCAACGCUCUCGGAGCUCGUCCUAAAACCAUUUUGGCGUCAAUUAACGUUCUUUGUUGUGGCGUUACAUUGGACACUUUUUCGGGCCGGACUCACAGAGCCACGGUCAUAGGCAAAUCUAUAGCCCUACGUAGAUUGGAUGUUGCGCUUCACUGCACGUCAGUGCAAAAUCAUUCGGCCACGCCAAAUACUGAUGCAUCUACACUUGGUAAUCGACUUUACUUAGCGAUCAGCAGCAGAACAUUCUAGCCAUAGAGAGAACAGCGAAACAAAUUACAUAAGAAUCUUGUGAUAAGAUAAUUUGACAAAUGCAUAUUACAUCUUCUCAAGGCGAGAGAGCUAGAGUCUCAUUACAAUUAAUCAUUUAUAAAUUUGC
rnacentral:sRNA from 1 species